UACGGAGGGUGCAAGCGUUAUCCGGAUUCACUGGGUUUAAAGGGUGCGUAGGCGGGCAGGUAAGUCAGAGGUGAAAUCUCCGGGCUUAACCCGGAAACUGCCAUUGAUACUAUAGGUCUUGAAUUAUCUGGAGGUGAGCGGAAUAUGUCAUGUAGCGGUGAAAUGCUUAGAUAUGACAUAGAACACCAAUUGCGAAGGCAGCUCACUACGGAUAUAUUGACACUGAGGCACGAAAGCGUGGGGAUCAAACAGG
rnacentral:rRNA from 1 species